rnacentral:rRNA from 1 species
GUCGGUGACGAUAGGUCGGGGGAGACACCUGAUCCCAUCCCGAACUCAGAAGUUAAGCCCCGGCCGCCGAUGAUACUGCACAGCGGGAAAGUAGGUCAUUGCCGACU